UGGGAAUAAUGUCACCAAUAGCAUAAGAAUUAAUGUCUACUAUGAUGCUGAAAUAAAUAAACUGGUAAAACUACUCUGCUGUCUAAAUCCCCAAGUUACAAAUUUACAGAGCUGCCGGCUUCCCCUUGAAGGAAUAGGAGUAGACCUGCUGAACUAUCACAUGAGAGAAGAGGCCCAAAAGCUUGCACACUACAGUCAAGCUGGCCCUUAAAGAGAUGGACCUAGAAGAUGCUGAGCCAGAUAUACUCAAUUACUUCUCCAAAAUCCAUCAAUUAGGAAUACAACAUGUUUAAGACCACAGAACAUCUGCAUAGGCUGUAAAUUUCGUUAAAUGAUGGAUGCAAAGAUGGAAGACAGAUGGAUAGAGAAAAAGACAGAAUCAGAUACUGGAUGAGUUAGUACUGCUGCUUGUGCUUCAGAGCUGUCUUAUUACCACAAGGCCGGCAAGCAUCAAUGUCCCCACAUCCCCCUCUGCCUCCCCCUGAAAUGUACCGAUUUAUAUGAAAAUUAAGAUUACAAAUUAAAGCCUGGCUAUCCUGGAGUUUUCCAGUUCAUCAGCCAUCCAAUAAAAAUGAUGUCAAGCCUGUAUGCAUAAUUCCCGGAAGAUUACUUUCGUCCUUACAGCUAAGCCCUGUCCCUGAUAUGAAAGAUCUCUAUCCACUUUUAUUGAAAUAAAGAACUAACAUCAUAAUCCC
rnacentral:antisense_RNA from 1 species